ensembl:lncRNA
UUGGACUUUGUUCUUCCAUUCCUGUGUCUGAGGAACAUGAUCGAGAGGAGCGCUCAGCUAGCGAUGAGAUGUUCAGGGGUAAUGGGCAUGGUUUGGGAGGGUUUUACCACUAUCAGCCACCACAGUACCCAUCAUACUUCCCUUAUGCCCAGCCUCCCCAAAGUAACUCCGCCCUGAUGGCCCUCCUGCCCUUCCUAUUUGCCAGACUCGCUGCCACUCCUGUAGCAACUCCUGCUGCAGCUCCCGCCCCAGCUGCCUCUGCCACACCGGCCCCAGCAGCGGGUGGAAAAUGAGAUGGGCGUCGCCAGAGGAACCAGAGAGAAAACUCUGACUCCCAUGUCUCCACCUUGUUUACUUAAAUUAUGUUGAUAUUAGCUGCUGUUCAAAGCUGAUUAUUCCAUUAUCAAUAAAUUAAUUACGUUUUAAGAUCCGUCAUUAUGUAUAUGUUUGUCUGUUGUGUUCUGUUUAAUUUACAGAAAGGGGCAAUUCUAUUUGUGAUGCUUUCAAAACAGGAGUGAAACUUCUCUAACAUAAGGUGGAAGGCUCUACAAGUCCAAAUACAAGUAUGAAAUCCCCAAAACGCCUGAAGUCAUUAUCAAUUGCAGGCUAUUUGGUGUUUCCAAAAAGGGGUCAUAACCCACCACCAAAUUGUCUUGCAUUGCAGAUAACAAAAUAUGUUGUUGUCUAUUUGGUAGCUAAUAACAAUACCAUUUUGAAAGACACUUUCUCUAGCACUGAGAAAGUAACAACAUUUAAUAUUAGCACAGUAUACAAUUUCCCCGCUUAUAACAAGCCUUUAACAUGUUGAUUUUUGUAUCGUUUCUGAUUUGAAUUCAAUCAAUAUCCGACGUUCUACAGUAAAUUCCUAAAAUAUUGUGAUUUGAUAUAAAAACCCACUCAAAUGUGAUUGCAUGCUUU